rnacentral:rRNA from 1 species
UUUUAUUUGAGAGUUUGAUCCUGGCUCAGGAUGAACGCUGGCGGCGUGCCUAACACAUGCAAGUUGAGCGAUUUACUUCGGUAAAGAGCGGCGGACGGGUGAGUAACGCGUGGGUAACCUACCCUGUACACACGGAUAACAUACCGAAAGGUAUGCUAAUACGGGAUAAUAUAUUUGAGAGGCAUCUCUUGAAUAUCAAAGGUGAGCCAGUACAGGAUGGACCCGCGUCUGAUUAGCUAGUUGGUAAGGUAACGGCUUACCAAGGCGACGAUCAGUAGCCGACCUGAGAGGGUGAUCGGCCACAUUGGAACUGAGACACGGUCCAAACUCCUACGGGAGGCAGCAGUGGGGAAUAUUGCACAAUGGGCGAAAGCCUGAUGCAGCAACGCCGCGUGAGUGAUGAAGGCCUUCGGGUCGUAAAACUCUGUCCUCAAGG